rnacentral:lncRNA from 1 species
UCCCCUAGUCUAUAUAGGUCCAAUCUCAUCUGCUAGCGCUUCUUCGUUGCUUGGUCGAGACACAUUCAUCAAUUUCUUUUCAGGCUUGCAAGUAACUUACUUCUUUUGCCCGUUCUUGCUAUCUUAAGUCGUCCUCUUUUCUUUAGAAGCUGUUAAUUUCUUUCCUGCCUGCCCUAAGGCUAAGGGGAGAACUGCAUGUACUAAUAGUCGGAUAGAAGCCUACCAGCCUACCUUGUUCAUAUCGAGCCGGACAGGAGAGACCCUCUUUCAAGUUAAGAGAAGCAAUUCCGCUUGAAAAUAGGCGCUGUAAAUCAAUUCAAAUAGAUAGGGGAGUUCCGAACCAGCAGCAAGCCCUUUCUAAUGUCCUAGGCGAAGGCAGUGCAGGUGAAAGCCCAAUAGAUCCCAUUUUUUUGAUCGCUCCACAUAGCUCACGACCCGGCACGAAGAAAUCUCUUAGAUGGGCGGAUGCGAAUCUGGAUCUAUCAACGGAGCAAUUCCAUUCCAGUCGUAGUCUCAAUCCCAUAUUCAAUGUGCCGUCUCCGCCGUGUCUGACCCCCUCAAUCUUUCUAUCCGGAGUGAGUCAGGCGGCUAAGCCUUUCAUCCUGAUAAAAGAAAGAGUUUUCCCACCCUCCAUAAAUGGAAUCGGUUUGAGUGAAUUACUUACCGCAGUCAAAGCCAAUAGGGAAAGUCAGGUCAAGAGAGAGUCUCUUUCCGAUUAGUGCAUCUCGCACUUCCAAUUCAUUCCGAGUUAGAAAAAGUAAGUUCCUUCCCGGGUAAAGUCCUCUUAAAUGGAUUACUAGUUCCUUCCUUCCCAAUCAAUGCUAACUCUAUCUUCCUCUCUUGUAAUUUAGGAGAUUUCCCCAGCCCAUAAAGAACUGUAGUUACAUACAGCUCUCAAAAGAUAAAAAGAGAAAGAGCUAUGACUUCAAGUAAGAAAGUGAAAGUUCAGUCCUCACCGCCAAAAAGAAGACAGCAACAAUCCGUACUACUUCUCUCAGUAAAUAACAUUCUCUUAGUUAGAGAGUAAGUAGAUAGACGGAUUAGUACUUUUACCCAGGGGUAGCCUUCCUUGUCGCCAAAGAAGAAUGAGAAUUGAUAAAGUUUUCUUGGGCUUCAAUAGCAGAAGCAAAGAAGUCAAAUCAAUGCAGCUUUCGUGCCCAGCCUAAAGAUCCUAUCCUCGCAGCAGCUGGAGCUCUUGAUGGCACGUUCAAGCGAGUUUAUGAAUGAAUGAAAUCAGUUGAAGGAGCGGCCAAGGACGAAAGCUUUGAUUGCGUUCUGCUAUGGUUGGCUUUUUUCCUUGCCUAAAACAACUAUCUUCUCUUCGCGAACGGUUAAGAAUCCUCUUUGUAUGCGCGUUCUCUCUUGUUUAUUCUUCUAGUUUUUCCUUCUUAUGCUUAUGGGUGAGACUCCCUUUCUUCUUAGGUUGUCUGUAAGUCUAGUUCGUGGUUCACGGGUGAGGUUACCUGGAUAGGUGGGCAGUUCCUAUCGGUGGAGCUAAGACACCUUCGAGAGAUAUAGCUCUAGCUCUUGAUGGCACGGGCAAGACAGUUCAUGAAUGAAUGGCGAGUUUUCUAUUUACUAGAAUAUCUUUCCUGCGAAGGAAGCUUCUUUUUAGAAUUUCUUGCGUGAAGAAAUUGAAUCAACGGCAUCGAAUGCAAGCUCUGAUAAAGUUUGAUUCUUCUUUAUGGACUACAACGACCUAAAGUAGCUAAAUAAGUAGUGAAAGUAAGCUCCUGGCUAAAAUGAGUCUUGGUUCUACCCACCGGCAAGAAUUUUUCGACCUGAUUAAAUGAUUGUAGAUUGGCUAUUUCGGGGUUCCAUGCCCAUGGAUUGCCUUAUUAUAGCUUUUUUGAUUCGUCGGGUAUGCCGGCUAAGAGAAUCGCUUCUCGCCUUGCUUGCAAGAGUAUAAGCAAGCCGUAGCAUUUUGACCCAGAUAGAACUCUUUCAAUUCAUGAGAGAAAGUGCUUUAGUAGCGAUUUCCCUGUUCUAGUGCAAGACGCAAGGAGAAGCACGAGCGGAGCGGUCUGGCUAAACGUGCAAUGCCCCGUAGGGAGAUCUAGCUUAUUGGUCUAGUGCUUCCGGGUGCUUGCCAGUUCUGAAUGACUGAACUUAGCUUGCCAUGUUCUUACAAGAAAGAAUCUCUUCUCCGAAUCGAAUCUACGCAUAUCGAAUUCAGUAAAGACUUGAAUAGAUGCCUUCCUUCAAAUAGAGUUCAUCCUGUUGAUGGUCUUUACUACACUAAGGCUAGAUCCGGACUAAUCCUAGCCUAUUCUUAUGAAGGAAGGUGAGCAUGAAGCAACGGCUAGAUCCUCACAGUAGGCAGCUUAGCUGUGAUUAUGAAGUCAGGUGAGAAGCGUUAUGCAAUAGAGAAGUCAGCUAGUGCACUUAGACAGGUAGUUGAUUUCAUUAGGGAAUUGAAUUGCAGGAAGGUCAGGUAGUCCUUAGGCCGUUGAGCGAAACUCUUGGCAUCCUCCUCUUAUGAGGGGAUAGGAGUGAAAGAAUCAUUAUAAAACUACGAGGUCGCCCCCACUUCUUAGAGCUCUCUUGCUACCUUAUAAUAGGUUCCUUAGACUAUAGGCAGAAAGGCCGAGGCAGAGCCAGCAAUUCUCUAAAAGCAAGGACGAUUAGCUACGUUCCANAUUGAGUGAAACUCUUGGCAUCCUCCUCUUAUGAGGGGAUAAGAGUGAAAGAAUCAUUAUAAAACUACGAGGUCGCCCCCACUUCUUAGAGCUCUCUUGCUACCUUAUAAUAGGUUCCUUAGACUAUAGGCAGAAAGGCCGAGGCAGAGCCAGCAAUUCUCUAAAAGCAAGGACGAUUAGCUACGUUCCAAUGAAGCACAUUCCAACAAUUACCUAGCCCGGUAGGUGGAGGAAAAAGGCGGAGAACAUUCUUUAAUCAAAGGCGCCAAUACCCAUAUCAGGAUUAGACCCAUUUCGAACGAG